rnacentral:rRNA from 1 species
UGGGGAAUCUUGGACAAUGGGGGCAACCCUGAUCCAGCGAUGCCGCGUGAGCGAAGAAGGCCUUAGGGUUGUAAAGCCCUUUCGCCCGCGACGAUGAUGACGGUAGCGGGAGAAGAAGCCCCGGCUAACUCCGUGCCAGCAGCCGCGGUAAUACGGAGGGGGCUAGCGUUGUCCGGAAUUACUGGGCGUAAAGCGCGCGUAGGCGGUCCACCAAGUCGGGGGUGAAAGCCCGGGGCUCAACCCCGGAAUGUCCUCCGAGACUGUUGGACUGGAGUUCGGGAGAGGAGAGCGGAAUUCCCAGUGUAGAGGUGAAAUUCGUAGAUAUUGGGAAGAACACCGGUGGCGAAGGCGGCUCUCUGGCCCGCAACUGACGCUGAGGCGCGAAAGCGUGGGGAGCAAACA